CCCCUCUCAGGGUCACACCUGGAGAGUUUCCAGCAUUUAACCAGUCUCGUCUACAGGAGGGAGAGUCAAGCAGAGGCCUACCCAUUCCAUUCCGAGCUUGGCCAGUGUCUAGUGAGUGGAAGGCAAUCUGCAACAAAU